rnacentral:lncRNA from 1 species
CGGCACAAGGAGAGGAAAAGAAAAAGAAAAGGAAGAUUUUUUUGAUCACCAAUAGUAGCGAUGACAACGGCUAUGGUGGCGAUCUGGCGGUGGAAAAGUUAUAAGGUUCAGCUAAAAAAAGGGAAGAAAGAAGUGGGAGAAAUAAAAUUAAAUUAAAAAAAAAGUGUCACACGACAUUGACCAUGGUGGUGCUCCUGGCGAUGAUAAGAGG